rnacentral:ncRNA from 1 species
ACGUGAAUUUCAAACUGAAGUAGGAAUUCAACAGGCAGCUGCCAGUCUAUGACUGGAUAAACAGUGCUACUGCCUAGUUACGAACUUAAGUAUCGUAGCAAAACUUCCAAAUUGCGGGAAGUUCCCAGAUAUCGUUUACAACGAGUAUUGCGAAAUCAGUACUUGCACUCGAGCUAACUGCCCUGAGAAUUGUAAAAACAACGCUUAUCACCACGGGAUAAUCCGCAGCCAAGCUCGCUCGUCAGGCGAGAAGGUUCAACGACUAGAUGGAAGUUGGCUGGUUUUAGCAGAUUUUGAUAUAAUCAAAAUUGUAGCCAGUCUAAGGUAUAGUCUUCCCUCUUGGGUAACCAAGUU